UCCCGGUUUAAGCGUGUAGGUGUGUGUUCCAGGUAAAUCCGGUUCACUUUAACACUGAGGCGUGACGACGAGGCACUACGGUGCUGAAGCAACAAAUGCCCUGCUUCCAGGAAAAGCCUCUAAGCAUCAGGUAACACGAAAUCGUACCCCAAACCGACACAGGUGGUCAGGUAGAGAAUACCAAGGCGCUUGAGAGAACUCGGGUGAAGGAACUAGGCAAAAUGGUGCCGUAACUUCGGGAGAAGGCACGCUGACACGUAGGUGAAGUGAUUUACUCAUGGAGCUGAAGUCAGUCGAAGAUACCAGCUGGCUGCAACUGUUUAUUAAAAACACAGCACUGUGCAAACACGAAAGUGGACGUAUACGGUGUGACGCCUGCCCGGUGCCGGAAGGUUAAUUGAUGGGGUCAGCGUAAGCGAAGCUCCUGAUCGAAGCCCCGGUAAACGGCGGCCGUAACUAUAACGGUCCUAAGGUAGCGAAAUUCCUUGUCGGGUAAGUUCCGACCUGCACGAAUGGCGUAAUGAUGGCCAGGCUGUCUCCACCCGAGACUCAGUGAAAUUGAACUCGCUGUGAAGAUGCAGUGUACCCGCGGCAAGACGGAAAGACCCCGUGAACCUUUACUAUAGCUUGACACUGAACAUUGAGCCUUGAUGUGUAGGAUAGGUGGGAGGCUUUGAAGUGUGGACGCCAGUCUGCAUGGAGCCGACCUUGAAAUACCACCCUUUAAUGUUUGAUGUUCUAACGUGGACCCGUAAUCCGGGUUGCGGACAGUGUCUGGUGGGUAGUUUGACUGGGGCGGUCUCCUCCUAAAGAGUAACGGAGGAGCACGAAGGUUGGCUAAUCCUGGUCGGACAUCAGGAGGUUAGUGCAAUGGCAUAAGCCAGCUUGACUGCGAGCGUGACGGCGCGAGCAGGUGCGAAAGCAGGUCAUAGUGAUCCGGUGGUUCUGAAUGGAAGGGCCAUCGCUCAACGGAUAAAAGGUACUCCGGGGAUAACAGGCUGAUACCGCCCAAGAGUUCAUAUCGACGGCGGUGUUUGGCACCUCGAUGUCGGCUCAUCACAUCCUGGGGCUGAAGUAGGUCCCAAGGGUAUGGCUGUUCGCCAUUUAAAGUGGUACGCGAGCUGGGUUUAGAACGUCGUGAGACAGUUCGGUCCCUAUCUGCCGUGGGCGCUGGAGAACUGAGGGGGGCUGCUCCUAGUACGAGAGGACCGGAGUGGACGCAUCACUGGUGUUCGGGUUGUCAUGCCAAUGGCACUGCCCGGUAGCUAAAUGCGGAAGAGAUAAGUGCUGAAAGCAUCUAAGCACGAAACUUGCCCCGA
rnacentral:rRNA from 1 species